GGGGCUAUAGCUCAGUGAUAGAGCACUUGCUUCAUACAUGCAAGGCACUGAGUUCGAUCCUUAGCACCA
rnacentral:tRNA from 1 species